rnacentral:rRNA from 1 species
AGUAAUCAUAUGCUUGUUUUGAAAAUUAAGCCAUACAUGUGCAAGAAUGAAUAAAUUAUGAAACUGCGAAUGGCUCAUUAAAUUAGUUAUAGUCUGUUUAAUGGCAUCUACUGCUUGAAUAACUAUAGUAAUUCUAAAGCUAAUAAAUGCAACAAACCUCGACUUCUGGAAGAGAUGCAUUUAUUAGAUAAAAGUCAACAUGGGCUUUGCCCGUUGCUCUGAUGAUUCAUGAUAACUCGACGAAUAGCACAACCAUCAUUCCAGUGACACAUCAUUCAAAUUCUUCCCUAUUAACUUUUAAUGGUAGGAUAGAGACCUACCAUGGUGAUAACGGGCGACAGAGAGAGAACCUGAGAAACAGCUACAACAUCCAAGGAACACAGCAGGCAUGCAAAUUACCCAAUCCUAACAUGAGGAGGUAGUGAUAAUAAAUAACAAUACGAAGCUCUUCGAGUCUGGUAAUUAGAAUGAGUACAGUCUAAAUCUCUUAACGAAUAUCCAUUAGACGGCAAGUUUAGUGAUAGCAACCGCAGCAAUUCCAACUCCAAUAGCAUACAUUUAAGCUGUUACAGUUAAAAAGCUCGUAAUUAGACCUUAGUAGGUCGACCAGUCAGCCUGUCAGCUCAUCCCUUUUGCUAGCGAUGCACUUCUGGCCUUAACUGGCUAGAUUAUGCCUCCAGCGUUGUUACUUUGAAAAAAUUAGAGUACUCAAAGCAAGCGUAUGCUCUGGAUACAUUAGCAUGGGAUAACAUCAUAGGAUUUCAGUUCUAUUAUGUUAGCCUUUAGGAUCAGAGUAAUGAUUAAAAAGGAUAGUCAGAGGCUUUCUAUUUCAUAAUUAGAGGUGAAAUUCUUGGAUUUAUAAAAGAUGAACAACUGCGAAAGCAUUUGCUAAGGAUAUUUUCAUUAAUCAAGAAUGAAAGUUAAGGGCUCGAAGACGAUCAGAUUCCAUCCUAAUCUCAACCAUAAACGAGGCCGACAAGAGAUCAGCAAAUGUUGCUUUUAGGACUCCGCCGAGACCUUUUAAGAAUCAAAGUCUUUGGAUUCCUAGGGAAGUAUGAUCAUAAGGCUAAAACCUAAAGGAAUUGAUGGAAAGACAACACCAGAAGUGGAGCCUACGGCUUAAUUUGACUCAACAUGGGGAAACUACCAGGUCCAAAUAUAGUAAGAUUGACAAACUAAAACCCUUCCUUUAAUCUAUGGGUGGUGGUGCAUGGCUGUUCUUAGUUGGUAGAGCGAUUUGUCUAAUUAAUUUUGUAAAUGAACGAGGCCUCAACCUAUUAACUAGCAGGCUAAGGUGACCCACCGUGGCCAACUUCUUAGAGAGACUAUGACCUUUUAGGCAAGGAAGUUUGAGGCAAUAACAGGUCUGUAAUGCUCUUGCAUGUUUCGAGCCACAUGUGCGCUACACUAAUGUAUUCAACGAGUCUAGUUCAUGGCAAUGCCAAAACAAGACAAAUGCAGGUGCUUAAUCUAAGACAAGAAUUUAAGUGUUUGAUGAUGAAAGAUUCUGAAACUGUUAAGAGUAUGCUGACAAGCUUAUAAAGGCAGU